UCAGCCAAUGGUGAGAGUGUGUUAUGAAUAAGGAUGUGAUUAAUCCAAUCUGGGAACUGAGGUCAAAU
rnacentral:snoRNA from 1 species